rnacentral:rRNA from 1 species
AGAGUUUGAUCCUGGCUCAGAAUCAACGCUGGCGGCGUGCCUAACACAUGCAAGUCGAACGAGAAAGGGUAGCAAUACCUGAGUAAAGUGGCGCACGGGUGAGUAACACGUGACUGACCUACCCUCGAGUGGGGGAUAACCUAGGGAAACCUGGGCUAAUACCGCAUAAUACCCACAGGUCAAAGGAGCAAUUCGCUCGA